AAGGCGAAACCCAAAAAGCCUAAAAAGAGUAGGGA
rnacentral:ncRNA from 1 species